GACGAACGCUGGCGGCGUGCUUAACACAUGCAAGUCGAACGGAAAGGCGCGGCUUUUGUUGGUUGGUCGAUUGGCGAACGGGUGAGUAACACGUGAGUAACCUGCCCUUGACUUUGGGAGAACUUCAGGAAACUGGGUCUAAUACCGGAUAGAAGCUCCUGCUGCAUGGUGGGCGUUGGAAAGUUUCGGCGGUUGGGGAUGGACUGGAGGGUUAUCAGCUUGUUGGUGGGGUAGGGGCUUACCAAGGUUUUGACGGGUAGCCGGCAUGAGAGGGUGAACGGCCACCUUGGGACUGAGAGACGGACCAGACUCGUACGGGAGGCAGCAGGGGAGAACAUUGCACAGUGGGCGGAAGCCUGAUGCAGCAACGCUGCGUGCGGGAUGCCGGCCUUCGGGUUGUAAACAGCUUUCGCCUGUGACGAAGAGUGAGUGGCGGUAAUGGGUAAAGAAGCACCGGCUAACUACGUG
rnacentral:rRNA from 1 species